GGGCAGACGGCGACAUGGGCACCGCGACGAGGGGACAACGACGACCGGGACGCGCUUCUCGGGCCGCGCUCCUGCUGCUCACGCUCGUCGUGGCCGUGUGCCUGCACUGCUGCAGCGCGGGUACGUCGUCCACGUCGUCGACGUCGUGGUGGUGUGCAAAUAGUGCCCCUUACUGGCAGACGCACGUAUCGGCAGGGAGGCGCCGCGCCACUCUUCAUUGGAGCGUGAGUCCGACCGGGCCGCGAGGCGAGGAGAGGCGGAGGCAUGACUCGCCUCUGCACGCCGCCGUCGUUCGUCCACUCGGAGGCGCGGCCGAUGCGACCGCGUCGAACGACACUGCCUUGAGUUUCAACGUUUUCACGAGGAAACGUCGCGGAGCGCUGACUUGAUGAUCCACGCCGUUUGCUCGCCUUCCGAGUCGCCUUCCAUCGCUGUCCCCGCGGCGGUCUUCUUCCGCUCCUUUCUGGCCGAGUUCUUGGAGUGCUUCCGGCCGGCAUGCCGGGACGGCCGGGACUCAAGGCGCACUCCUUACGCGACGACCGGGCAGUCAGUCCGGGCAGCGCGAUAGAGGCCCCCACGGCCUUGAACUUGGCGUGGCGACUCGGUGCUGACACUCCGACAGCGCGAGAGCAGAGCGCAGCAGAGCGCAGCAGAGCGUCCCCUGGCGGCGCUGUCAAACCAAACACCACCGCGCGACACUUGAAUAAAUUCAAGUUGCUUUUGUUGUUUCGACUGUCUUUGUUGCGUGGCCGGCAAGUGGCGAUGCACCCUGUAUGGACAGGCCGCUGCAGUUGGUGGCCGUGACCACGCGCCGGCGGCGGCCUUGGACGCGCCUGUGUGCGUGUGGCCGCCACGGGCUGCGUGCACAAGGGGCGGCGGUACGCGGCGGGGGCGGUCUGGACCACGCCGGGGGCCUGCGUCGAGCAGGAGUGCGGCGAGGACGGCGCCGUCACCACGACCUGGUGUGGUCAUUUCAUGGCCGGCCCGAACUGCCGCUUUGUUAGAGGGAACCUCAGCGCCCCGUACCCGGAGUGCUGUCCGCAGCUCCGGUGCGUCAAGACGACGGCCUGACCAGACCGAAUACGUAGCUGCUAAGAAUAUUUGUUGUCCCGUCCGAGAGCAUCCACGCCCGCCAUCAUCAUUUGUAUCUUUUCAUCGCCCUCAUCAGUUCUCGGAAUAAAUUUGUUUAGAAAAUAACUGCAAA